rnacentral:piRNA from 1 species
UGUAAAUGGGAUUCUAAGGCUUUAGGAGAG